rnacentral:hammerhead_ribozyme from 1 species
AUUCAGUUGGGGAGUCCCAAAUAGGACGAAACGCGCGUCCUGGAU